CCAGGACAGAGGGCAACACACAAGUGGGUGGCGACCCUCAAGGCUGACGGCAUCCCUGCCCAGAGUGACGACCAGGGCCUACUAGCUCUACUAAAUUCAGGGUGGCGGAAAUCCUGGAUGUGCCCCUUGUCAUGGCUCAGGGGCCUCCUUUCAUCCUACUUCAUGAAGCCCCAACACUUCCUUCCUGGGAUCAGUACCAAUCCCCUGCAAGGCCCUGUCCCUCCCUCCAACUUCAUCCCAGUCAACCACACACGUCCAAUCGUGUAGUCUGUUGCCCUUCUUUCCUUCCUGGGGCAUCCUGAGCCCUCUGGGAUGGCGUGUGCCCAGUUCCAGCUCACGGACCUCCAUGGCCCAUCCACCAAGCACCCCAUCGUAUCAACUCGCCAUGUAAGGGUGUGGACCCCUUCCCCGCUCAUGGAUGCUCCUGGUGGCCUCCACUGAACAUGUAGGACACCGUCCACCCAAAGCAUAUUGGUCGAGGUGUCUCAUUUCACAAGCCAGCUGUUGCCCAGCUCUUGCUGGGCCCGUUUGUAGGCCCUCCUGCAGGUCGGCUACCUGCGUUUGGAAGGCAACUAGCCUGGAAGGCCACUGUCAGUGCUCAAGGUGAUAGCCACAUAUUCCUGAACCCGGUGUCGUCCUGUUGUAGCUGGGAUACUGUCUCAGGCCAGCAGCAUGACGGCAUCAUCAGCACUGGUGAGGAUCGUGAGCGGGGUGAGGGCUCCAAGGGUGCUGUGCUCAGGAACUGUUCUCUCCAGGCACGUGCCUGCUGUGCUGCAUAUAUCUGCAGCAGGGCGGGCGGGUGGAAUCCAUCCCUCGUGGUGGGUCUGCAUUCAGAAACCUGAACGUGGUGGUGGUCACUGGUCGGGAAACUGUAAGGGAAGUCCUGUGUUGAGAAUGCAGGCGCCUGCCCAGAGUUUGGAGGUAUUUAGCAGGUGGGGCCAGGAAGUGUCCCUCUCCAUGAGUGUUGCAGGCAGGCAUUCUCUCCUUAAACACAAGGUCUGCUGAUCUCACAGGAGUCUCUUCUUGUCCCAACCCCUUAAUGUGUCCAGGAGAGGAGAUAGGACAUGAACACAUCCCAUCAAAAUCGGGGGUUAGGACCCAUCCAUCCUCAUCCCUCCACUGUGUGUGCUGCUGGGAUCUCGGGGUACUCCAGGCCACCUCUUCUCCCAGCCUUUCCUGGGAGGCGCCACUUGGUAUCUGGGACCUCCUCUGCUCUAACACAAAUAAGAAUUCCUCAAAAGUUUUCUAGCACACAACUUGUUCUUUCACCUCUUUCACCUCUCCAAGAAAGUCAAACAUGGUCCUUGCUUUUCCCAGUGGCCAUGGUUACCCAAGCACAGGAGGCCAAGGCCUGGGGCUCAGGCCAGCAGAGCAGGAUCUCUGCAGACGUGUGGUCCCAGGCUUGGCCAGUACAGUUCUUCCUGGAUGGCCGACACAGAUCCUGGGGAAAGGCAAUCCCGGCACUGCUCUGAAACCAGAGCUCCUCCUCCCUCCCCGGGCAGGGUGGAGCUGAGAAGGGCUGCUCUAGCGUUGGGUCUCCACCUCCAUACGCCUGAUAUUUUGAUAGGGCAGGUCCCUGCUAUGGGCCACUGUUCUGGGCAGUAUAGUAUGCUUGACAGCAUCCUUGGCAUCUAUCCACCAGAUCCCAGAGCACCCGCUACUAACUGUGACAACAUCCUCCAAACAUUGCAAAAUUUCCCCUGGGAGGCAAGAUUGCCUCAGAUGGGAGAAUCACGCUCUAGGGAAAUCUGCUGGUAUGAGAACCCCAACUCCCCACUCCAUUGAGCCUCCAGAUGGCGAGCAGGCUGCAGCUCCAGCACAGACACGAAGCUCCCUCCAACCACUGACGGUUCAUGGCUGGGGUGACCCAGGCCUCACCUGCCCUUUCUUUUGUAACUGCGUUAUGUUCCACCACAGGCACGCCCCUACAGA
rnacentral:lncRNA from 1 species